rfam:Anas platyrhynchos breed Pekin duck contig138278, whole genome shotgun sequence.
GCCUCGCUGGUCAAGUGGUCCUAAACAUUUCACAAUUAUGAUAGAGAACUGUUGAACUGUUAAGAACCACUGCACCAAGG